rnacentral:rRNA from 1 species
CAGCCGCCACGGUAAUACGAAGGGUGCAAGCGUUGCUCGGAAUCACUGGGCGUAAAGGGUGCGUAGGCGGGUCUUUAAGUCAGAAGUGAAAUCCUGGAGCUCAACUCCAGAACUGCCUUUGAUACUGAGGAUCUUGAGUUCGGGAGAGGUGAGUGGAACUGCGAGUGUAGAGGUGAAAUUCGUAGAUAUUCGCAAGAACACCAGUGGCGAAGGCGGCUCACUGGCCCGAUACUGACGCUGAGGCACGUAAGCGUGGGGAGCAAACAGGAUUAGAUACCCCGGUAGUCCCUGUCUCUUAUAC